rnacentral:lncRNA from 1 species
UACGUCGCCGCAAAGCACGUGUCAAAUGCUCCCAAUGACGAAAACGGGCCUUUCACCUGUUUCCUGAACUCGUCCCGAAUCGCUGUGUAAACGGGUGGUACGAAUCGGGUUAUCACCGUACCGGAAUCGAUGAUGGUGCCAGCGCCGGUGUUCGGGUUGAAGGCUAAGAGUUCUGGUUCGACGGGGACGAGGACUCGGCCGACGCUGAUUCCGGUUAGGUUGACGUAGUAGAGAGAUGGGCGGUGUGGGUUAUGUAAAAGUGGAGUAGUCCGGAUGUUUUUGGGUUGACCCACCGGACCAAGUUUUAGGGAUCCGGAAAAGUAGUAGGAUCUGAAGCUGGGCAAACAGUAGGAGAACACACCGGAGUAAAGCGACUGGGACUGUGAGAUCAACGACAUGGGUCCCCGACCCAGACCCAGUAACCCUUGGGGCGGAAUUGACCCGCCCGAGAUGCUGUUUAUGCAUCCAAAGACGAAAUUAGGAAGGACGUCGUUCGCCAAUGCAAGAGAAUCUUGCACAAGCGUGGCGGAUAACGAGGAGUCUCCGCCGUAGGAUUGGUUAAAGAGGCAAGCGGAAUUCCCGGUCUCCGGACACGAGAGGCCUCGUACUUGGGUACAUUGGGUCAUGGAGCAGUCCAACGACCUGUACGUGGAAGAGGUAUUGGGUUGAAAAGUGGUUGCAGAGCACCCAGUACAGCCGGCACAGGGGACCCAAGCAGCGUCAUUACUGGUAUCGAGAACCAUGAACAUGAGCUGACCUGGGUUACCCAAUUUGACCCGGACGACAUAGUUGGCGGUGUUUAGAACCUGCUGGCCGGAAGCAAUGGGUACCGCAGUGGUCUUCUGACCCACAAGGCUGGACAAGUACUUGACCCGCUCCGGGUCCUUGGACGCCAUGUCGAUGACUGUGGUAACCCAUGAGUUAGACUUGGGUGCGGU